GUCGAGCGGUAGCACAGGAGAGCUUGCUCUCUGGGUGACGAGCGGCGGACGGGUGAGUAAUGUCUGGGAAACUGCCUGAUGGAGGGGGAUAACUACUGGAAACGGUAGCUAAUACCGCAUANNNUCUACGGACCAAAGUGGGGGACCUUCGGGCCUCAUGCCAUCAGAUGUGCCCAGAUGGGAUUAGCUAGUAGGUGGGGUAAUGGCUCACCUAGGCGACGAUCCCUAGCUGGUCUGAGAGGAUGACCAGCCACACUGGAACUGAGACACGGUCCAGACUCCUACGGGAGGCAGCAGUGGGGAAUAUUGCACAAUGGGCGCAAGCCUGAUGCAGCCAUGCCGCGUGUGUGAAGAAGGCCUUCGGGUUGUAAAGCACUUUCAGCGAGGAGGAAGGGNNNNGUGUUAAUAGCACUGUGCAUUGACGUUACUCGCAGAAGAAGCACCGGCUAACUCCGUGCCAGCAGCCGCGGUAAUACGGAGGGUGCAAGCGUUAAUCGGAAUUACUGGGCGUAAAGCGCACGCAGGCGGUUUGUUAAGUCAGAUGUGAAAUCCCCGCGCUUAACGUGGGAACUGCAUUUGAAACUGGCAAGCUAGAGUCUUGUAGAGGGGGGUAGAAUUCCAGGUGUAGCGGUGAAAUGCGUAGAGAUCUGGAGG
rnacentral:rRNA from 1 species